rnacentral:lncRNA from 1 species
GGUCGUGUACAUGAUGCAGUGGCCCUUUACCACUCCAGAGGUGCAGCAUUCUUCAUCUUCUUUGGCUGUCACUGUGAGCCUCUUCCUCCCAAGUGCCGCCACCCUCUGCCACUUCUUUGCCAGUUGAGCAAGUCUCUUCAUGCUAAUCAUGGUUGGUUCUGGGUCUUAUUUUUUCAGCUCCAGAGAAAGUGAGCUAUGGGUGUUGUAGUGCUCAGUUGGUGGUGGGUGAGCUGAUGAAGUGAUGGUAUUGAGCUUAGCCGCUCCCUGAAUUUAUAGGCAAGGUGAAGGGCAUUGUGCUGGUGAAGAGUAGUUGUCACUGUGAAGAGUUGGCCAGGGACAAGGCCAUGUGAUCAGCGCAUGCAGUGUUGCAGCAUGAUCACUUUGGAGUAGAUUGUGAUGGGGCCAAAUGUUUGGGGCAUGCUGGAGCCAAUAGUGGUAGCAAUAGCAUCAUGGCACGAUCUAUUCUGCGAUGCAGAUAUGGAUGGAUUCAGUUGAGAUAUCAUCAGUUUCGCACAUCAUGCUAUUAUUUUGGAGCUCCAAAUUGACACUUGACCAGCUGAAAGGAAACAAAAGUGUGUUGGACUAAUGAUCAGGAACUUGUUCAUGGUCUUACCAGUCGCCGCUGAACCUUCAGUCUUAGAUGUGUUGUUGAUCAGUCGGAUGGUGUGCAUGCCUGAAUUAACUUGCUCGACAGAUGUUGCUGUUUGUUCACUUCGUGAUCUGCUCCAUGCAUGUCUGGUAUCCAGUCCAGCAUCUCAUGUGGUCUUCAUUUCAUUGUUGCUUCCACCAUUUGGAGUCUUAAGUUAGAAAGGAAAGAACUCUAUUUCAAAAGGUAUGUAUUGUAAUUUUUCUCUAAAAAACCAGUGUAAUUUUUGUCCAAAGUUGUACCAUGUUUAGCUAGGGUCAAGUGUUCUGCAACUUGCCAUAAAUUACUGAAUCUGUAGCUGGCUGUUUCUGCUGAGUGUUUUGUUUAAUGGAAGUUUUCCUUCGGAAAGUAAUUUUGACAACUAGUUUCCCG